rnacentral:rRNA from 1 species
GGGCUCACACAAGCGGUGGAGCAUGUGGCUUAAUUCGAGGCAACGCGAAGAACCUUAUCCUGGGUUUGACAUGUACGGAUGGCUCGCCUGAAAGGGAUGAGUCUGCCUUCGGGUGAAACGUACACAGGUGCUGCAUGGCUGUCGUCAGCUCGUGUCGUGAGAUGUAGGGUUAAGUCCUUAAACGAGCGCAACCCCUAUUUCUAGUUGCCAGCGGUUCGGCCGGGGACUCUAGAGAAACUGCCAGCGUAAGCUGUGAGGAAGGUGGGGAUGACGUCAAAUCAUCACGGCCCUUACGUCCUGGGCCACACACGUGCUACAAUGGUGGGGACAACGAGUCGCUAACCCGCGAGGGUAAGCUAAUCUUCAAACCCCAUCUCAGUUCGGAUCGGAGUCUGCAACUCGACUCCGUGAAGUUGGAAUCGCUAGUAA